rnacentral:rRNA from 1 species
CAGCAGCCGCGGUAAUACGGAGGGUGCAAGCGUUAUCCGGAUUCACUGGGUUUAAAGGGUGCGUAGGCGGGCAGGUAAGUCCGUGGUGAAAUCUCUGAGCUUAACUCAGAAACUGCCAUGGAUACUAUUUGUCUUGAAUAUUGUGGAGGUAAGCGGAAUAUGUCAUGUAGCGGUGAAAUGCUUAGAUAUGACAUAGAACACCAAUUGCGAAGGCAGCUUACUACACAGUUAUUGACGCUGAGGCACGAAAGCGUGGGGAUCAAACAGGAUUAGAUACCCUGGUAGUCCACGCCCUAAACGAUGAUUACUCGACAUCAGCGAUACACUGUUGGUGUCUGAGCGAAAGCAUUAAGUAAUCCACCUGGGAAGUACGAUCGCAAGAUUGAAACUCAAAGGAAUUGACGG